AAGUUGGUCUUUGCAAUCCAUUAGGUGGAUGAUUCGGCUCAAUUUGUCGACGAAGGAUGUGGCUAGCAGCAUUAUGCUUCGGUUAGGCGCACGCAGCCUUUGACCCGAAGAUUUCUGAAUGUGACUUCACGUUAAAUCCGAAAGGAUAGACAAUUUGGGGAAUUGAAGCGUCUUAGUACCCAAAAGAAAAGAAAUCAAUUGAGAUUCCGUUAGUAUCAGCGAGAGAAAGCGGUGUAAGGCAAACCGAAUCUGUUAUAGUAAUAUAAUAGAAAUGUGGUGUUAUAAGACUUGUUUUUAGAUCCUAAUUAGUGAGUUGAAUUAUUCUGGAAAGUUUAAUCAUAGAGGGUUAUAAUCCCGUAAGCUAAACUAAAAGGAUCGUACAAGUAUCUUGAGUAGUAUUUGUUGGAUAUCAAGUACGAAAUUUGGAGGCAUCAACUUCAAACCUUAAAUACAAAUUGAGUCCGAUAGCUUACUAGUACCGUGAGGGAAAAUUGAAAAGUACUCUUAAUCGAGAGUAAAAAGAUCCUGAAACCUAAUGGAGAUAGUAUGAUACGGCGUUGGUUGUAUCGUACGUUUCGAAUAACGGACCAGGGAGUGUAUCUAAGUGGCAAGGGUAAUUAAAAAGUACCCGAAGCGAAAGCAAGAUCCUGCAGUUCACAAGAGGAAAGGUAUGAAAAUGCCUUAAGUCACUUGGGUACGACCCGAAACCAGACGAUCUAAUCCUGAGCAAGAUGAAGUGAGAUUUCUAUCUCAUGGAGGUCUGAAGAGUUUCUGCGUGCAUGCGUUCUUCUGACUUGGGAUUAGGGGUGAAAAGCCAAUCGAGUCUGGUGAUAGCUGGUUCCUACCGAAAUUGACCUUAGUCAAGUCUCAACAGAGAUUGCCAAGAGGGUAUAGAUACGGAUUGAGAGUUUAGGCCGGGAAACUGGUCAGCUCUUUGUUCAACUCAAAAUCUUUUGGCUUCUUAGAAGUUGGGAAACGGGGGCUAUGGGGUAAGCCUUAGCUCCUAAAGGGGAACAACCCAGAUUGCAAUUAAGGUCCCAAAAUAUCAGUCAAGUGUUAAAGGGUGAAAGGCGUCUAAUUUCAUAGACAGCAGGAAGGUAUGCUUAGAAGCAGCAAUCCUUUAAAAAGUGCGUAAUAGCUUACCUGUCAAGAUAUUAGGCCCUGAAAAUGGACGGGGCUAAACUGAUUACCGAUAUUGCAAACCAUUUACUUUUAGUAGAUGUGUGGUAGGUAGGCGCUAUGUUAGGGUAGAAGUUUUUUCGCAAGAAAAGAUGGACCUAAUAAAGAUGAUUAUCCUGGUAGUAGUAAGAUCAAAACAGAGUGAGAAUCUCUGAUACCGAAAGGGCAAGGGUUCCUCAGCUCUGUAGUUCAGCUGAGGGUAAGUCGGUCCUAACCAAGCUCAUAACUUGAGCAAGGGGAAAGGGAAACAGGUUAAAAUUCCUGUACUACUUGAGUACAUGUGGCAACGCAAGACCAAUUCUAAAAGGUUUUGGCUAAACCAACAUUAAUCAUCGUUAAUGCUAAUUAAGAUAAAACAGAGGAGUACUGUAAUGGUGAGAAUCUGUUUAAACUUAAGAUGGGCUGUCCUAGAGACAGUUUGAUUGAUGCCAAGACUCUGUGAAACUAGAAUUGGUAAGUAACUUAAGUAACCGUACCCAGAACCAGCACUGGUGCCCGGGGUAAGAAACCUAAGGUAUGAGGGUGUAAUUUAGCUAAGGGAAUUCGGCAAAUUGGCAGCGUAGCUUCGGUUUAAGCUGUCCCUGUGUUUGUAACCACAUAGUUGCGAUUACAGGGUUCAAUAACAAGGGGGGUCCGACUGUUUAAUAAAAACUUAACCUUCUGCUAAUCCGUAAGGACUUGUAUAGAAGGUGACGUCUGCCCAGUGCUAGUACUCGAACUCCAGUUUCAACUGGAUUAAGAGCUAGUAAACGGCGGGGGUAACUAUAACUCUCUUAAGGUAAGCACAAAGUUGCCUUAGUAAAAUCUGGCUAUAUGCUAAGAAAUCCGAGUAUCCUGCACUACCAAAAACUAUUUUAAGGUUUAAUUAUACCUUAUAUAUUUAGAGGUAACAAUGUGAUAGGUGCGGACAAUCAGCAGGAAAGGCUAAAUAUCAAUUGGUUAGUCGGUUUUACAGAUGGAGAAGGAUGUUUCCAUGUGGCAUUAAACAAGAUGCCUGGAAUGUCUCUUGGUUGGCAGGUUCUUCCUGAAUUUAGGAUAGUUCAACAUGAACGUGAUGAAAAACUCCUCUAUAAAAUUAAAGAUUUCUUUAAUUAUGGAGAUGUUAGAAAAAAUCACGGAGACAGAAAAGACUUCAGAGUUAGAGGUUUAGAAAAUCUAAAUAAAUUAAUCAGGUUUUUUAAAAAAUAUCCUUUACAAACUUCAAAAAGAAAAAGUUUUGAAAUCUUUUCUGAAAUUAUUGAAUUAAUGAACAGAAAACAACAUCUUAAUAAGGAAGGAUUAAAAAAAAUCGCCAAUCUAGCAUCUAAAAUGAAUCGGAAAGUAAAAAGGUAUUUAGAAUCCUCAGAGACUAUACGCCAGAAUUCCUAAUAGGAAUAAGAUAUAGUCCGACCUGUUAAGCGAUUAACAGAGAUGUACAGAAACGUACAUCCGCCAUUUAUUAUGGUUAGUACUUGACUUUAAAGUUAAGGAAAGUAACAAACGUGAGCGAAAUACCUUGUCGUUUAAUUGACGACUCGCAUGAAGGCGCAACGAGACUCCUACUGUCCCUAGUUAAAAGCCCCUGAACUCACUAUACUGGUGCAAAGGCCAGUGACUUCCAGUGGGAAGCGAAGACCCCGUAGAACUUUACUAUAACCUAUAAUUGUGAGAUAAAUUUUAUUGCUCAGUAUAGGUGGAAGCCGUUAAAGCUUAGCCUUCGGGUUAAGUGUAGGCAAAAUUGAGAUACCACCCAACAAGAUUUAUCCCACUAACUGGAGAUCCAGGACAUUUAUAGGCGGGUAGUUUGGCUGGGGCGGUCCCUGCUGAAAAAGUAUCAGUAGGGCCCUAAGGUCGACUCAACAGGUUUAGAACUCCUGUGGAGAGUGCAAGAGCAAAAGUCGGCCUGACUGAAUUUUGAAAAACAAAAAAUUCAGAGACGAAAGUCAGGUCUAGCGAACCUCUAAACCUCCUUGAUGGGGGUUAGAGAUGACAGAAAAGCUAUCUCGGGGAUAACAGAGUCGUCGCGCCUAAGAGCUCAAAUCGACGGCGCGGCUUGCUACAUCGAUGUCGGCUCUCCGUAUCCUGGCUGUGCAGAAGCGGCCAAGGGUGGGGGUGUUCACCCAUUAAAACGGAUCGUGAGCUGGGUUUAAUACGUUGUGAGACAGUAUGUAUGAUAUCUACUGGAAGUGUUGAUGUCUGAUAGGAAGGACCGUCUAGUACGAGAGGAACGGCGGUUCGGGGCCUCUGGUUUAUCUGUUGUCUGAUAAGGCAGGCAGAGCAGCUACGCCCUUAACGGAUAAGUGCUGAAAGCAUCUAAGCACGAAGUCGGCCUAGAAAAGAGACAUCUUAGAGUACCUGUAGAAGACAGGUUUGAUAGGACUGGCGUGUAAGUAUCAAGCCUCGGCGAGAUAUUAAGCGUGCGGUUACUAAUAACUCAUUUUGACCAACUU
rnacentral:rRNA from 1 species